GGGCGACUAGCUCAGCUGGGAGAGCGCUACGUUCGCAUCGUAGAGGUCGCGAGUUCGAUCCUCGCGUCGUCCACCA
rnacentral:tRNA from 1 species